rnacentral:rRNA from 1 species
AACGAACGCUGGCGGCAUGCCUAACACAUGCAAGUCGAACGAGACCUUCGGGUCUAGUGGCGCACGGGUGCGUAACGCGUGGGAACCUGCCCUUAGGUUCGGAAUAACUCCCCGAAAGGGGUGCUAAUACCGGAUAAUGUCUUCGGACCAAAGAUUUAUCGCCUUUGGAUGGGCCCGCGUUGGAUUAGCUAGUUGGUAGGGUAAAAGCCUACCAAGGCGACGAUCCAUAGCUGGUCUGAGAGGAUGAUCAGCCACACUGGGACUGAGACACGGCCCAGACUCCUACGGGAGGCAGCAGUGGGGAAUAUUGCACAAUGGGCGAAAGCCUGAUCCAGCAAUGCCGCGUGAGUGAUGAAGGCCUUAGGGUUGUAAAGCUCUUUUACCCGGGAUGAUAAUGACAGUACCGGGAGAAUAAGCUCCGGCUAACUCCGU